rnacentral:rRNA from 1 species
UUAAGCGACUAAGCGUACACGGUGGAUGCCCUGGCAGUCAGAGGCGAUGAAGGACGUGCUAAUCUGCGAUAAGCGUCGGUGAGGUGAUAUGAACCGUUAUAACCGGCGAUUUCCGAAUGGGGAAACCCAGUGUGUUUCGACACACUAUCAUUAACUGAAUCCAUAGGUUAAUGAGGCGAACCGGGGGAACUGAAACAUCUAAGUACCCCGAGGAAAAGAAAUCAACCGAGAUUCCCCCAGUAGCGGCGAGCGAACGGGGAGGAGCCCAGAGCCUGAAUCAGUGUGUGUGUUAGUGGAAGCGUCUGGAAAGGCGCGCGAUACAGGGUGACAGCCCCGUACACAAAAAUGCACAUACUGUGAGCUCGAUGAGUAGGGCGGGACACGUGGUAUCCUGUCUGAAUAUGGGGGGACCAUCCUCCAAGGCUAAAUACUCCUGACUGACCGAUAGUGAACCAGUACCGUGAGGGAAAGGCGAAAAGAACCCCGGCGAGGGGAGUGAAAAAGAACCUGAAACCGUGUACGUACAAGCAGUGGGAGCCUCUUAAUGGGGUGACUGCGUACCUUUUGUAUAAUGGGUCAGCGACUUAUAUUCUGUAGCAAGGUUAACCGAAUAGGGGAGCCGAAGGGAAACCGAGUCUUAACUGGGCGUUAAGUUGCAGGGUAUAGACCCGAAACCCGGUGAUCUAGCCAUGGGCAGGUUGAAGGUUGGGUAACACUAACUGGAGGACCGAACCGACUAAUGUUGAAAAAUUAGCGGAUGACUUGUGGCUGGGGGUGAAAGGCCAAUCAAACCGGGAGAUAGCUGGUUCUCCCCGAAAGCUAUUUAGGUAGCGCCUCGUGAAUUCAUCUCCGGGGGUAGAGCACUGUUUCGGCAAGGGGGUCAUCCCGACUUACCAACCCGAUGCAAACUGCGAAUACCGGAGAAUGUUAUCACGGGAGACACACGGCGGGUGCUAACGUCCGUCGUGAAGAGGGAAACAACCCAGACCGCCAGCUAAGGUCCCAAAGUCAUGGUUAAGUGGGAAACGAUGUGGGAAGGCCCAGACAGCCAGGAUGUUGGCUUAGAAGCAGCCAUCAUUUAAAGAAAGCGUAAUAGCUCACUGGUCGAGUCGGCCUGCGCGGAAGAUGUAACGGGGCUAAACCAUGCACCGAAGCUGCGGCAGCGACACUAUGUGUUGUUGGGUAGGGGAGCGUUCUGUAAGCCUGUGAAGGUGGCCUGUGAGGGUUGCUGGAGGUAUCAGAAGUGCGAAUGCUGACAUAAGUAACGAUAAAGCGGGUGAAAAGCCCGCUCGCCGGAAGACCAAGGGUUCCUGUCCAACGUUAAUCGGGGCAGGGUGAGUCGACCCCUAAGGCGAGGCCGAAAGGCGUAGUCGAUGGGAAACAGGUUAAUAUUCCUGUACUUGGUGUUACUGCGAAGGGGGGACGGAGAAGGCUAUGUUGGCCGGGCGACGGUUGUCCCGGUUUAAGCGUGUAGGCUGGUUUUCCAGGCAAAUCCGGAAAAUCAAGGCUGAGGCGUGAUGACGAGGCACUACGGUGCUGAAGCGACAAAUGCCCUGCUUCCAGGAAAAGCCUCUAAGCAUCAGGUAACAUUAAAUCGUACCCCAAACCGACACAGGUGGUCAGGUAGAGAAUACCAAGGCGCUUGAGAGAACUCGGGUGAAGGAACUAGGCAAAAUGGUGCCGUAACUUCGGGAGAAGGCACGCUGAUAUGUAGGUGAAGCGACUUGCUCGUGGAGCUGAAAUCAGUCGAAGAUACCAGCUGGCUGCAACUGUUUAUUAAAAACACAGCACUGUGCAAACACGAAAGUGGACGUAUACGGUGUGACGCCUGCCCGGUGCCGGAAGGUUAAUUGAUGGGGUUAGCGGCAACGCGAAGCUCUUGAUCGAAGCCCCGGUAAACGGCGGCCGUAACUAUAACGGUCCUAAGGUAGCGAAAUUCCUUGUCGGGUAAGUUCCGACCUGCACGAAUGGCGUAAUGAUGGCCAGGCUGUCUCCACCGAGACUCAGUGAAAUUGAACUCGCUGUGAAGAUGCAGUGUACCCGCGGCAAGACGGAAAGACCCCGUGAACCUUUACUAUAGCUUGACACUGAACAUUGAGCCUUGAUGUGUAGGAUAGGUGGGAGGCUUUGAAGUGUGGACGCCAGUCUGCAUGGAGCCGACCUUGAAAUACCACCCUUUAAUGUUUGAUGUUCUAACGUGGGCCCGUAAUCCGGGUUGCGGACAGUGUCUGGUGGGUAGUUUGACUGGGGCGGUCUCCUCCUAAAGAGUAACGGAGGAGCACGAAGGUUGGCUAAUCCUGGUCGGACAUCAGGAGGUUAGUGCAAUGGCAUAAGCCAGCUUGACUGCGAGCGUGACGGCGCGAGCAGGUGCGAAAGCAGGUCAUAGUGAUCCGGUGGUUCUGAAUGGAAGGGCCAUCGCUCAACGGAUAAAAGGUACUCCGGGGAUAACAGGCUGAUACCGCCCAAGAGUUCAUAUCGACGGCGGUGUUUGGCACCUCGAUGUCGGCUCAUCACAUCCUGGGGCUGAAGUAGGUCCCAAGGGUAUGGCUGUUCGCCAUUUAAAGUGGUACGCGAGCUGGGUUUAGAACGUCGUGAGACAGUUCGGUCCCUAUCUGCCGUGGGCGCUGGAGAACUGAGGGGGGCUGCUCCUAGUACGAGAGGACCGGAGUGGACGCAUCACUGGUGUUCGGGUUGUCAUGCCAAUGGCACUGCCCGGUAGCUAAAUGCGGAAGAGAUAAGUGCUGAAAGCAUCUAAGCACGAAACUUGCCCCGAGAUGAGUUCUCCCUGACCCUUUAAGGGUCCUGAAGGAACGUUGAAGACGACGACGUUGAUAGGCCGGGUGUGUAAGCGCAGCGAUGCGUUGAGCUAACCGGUACUAAUGAACCGUGAGGCUUAACCUU